UAAAGACGUAAUACCAUACCGGUUAAUAAAAUCAACAGAUCAAAAUCCAAAGAAUUUGGCGGUAUCUUAAACACUCAGGGGAACCUGUACCUUAAUUUGAUGAUCCACACAACUCAUACUACAUCUCGAAUUUCAGCCUGUGUACUGCUGUCGCCAGUAAACCUCUCAGAGUUGUUUACAACUAUAUAUAUACACUAUAAACGUCAAGUCAAAGUGCAGCCAAUGAUAUAGAGGACUAUGGGUUACAAUUUCUAUAAAAAUACGAAUUAUUAAAAUAAAAAUAAUAUAAAGGUGAACUUGACAGUAAUAUUCAUAAAACAUUAAUAUAAACAAAAUCCAAGAUAUGCACACAUCGCCCGUCGCUCUCAUUCAAUUUG
rnacentral:rRNA from 1 species